GAUGAAGAACGUAGUGAAAUGCGAUACGUAAUGUGAAUUGCAAAUUCAGUGAAUCAUCGAGUCUUUGAACGCACAUUGCGCCCCCUGGUAUUCCGGGGGGCAUGUCUGUCCGAGCGUCAUUGCUGCCCUCAAGCACGGCUUGUGUGUUGGGCCCCGUCCUCCGAUCCCGGGGGACGGGCCCGAAAGGCAGCGGCGGCACCGCGUCCGGUCCUCGAGCGUAUGGGGCUUUGUCACCCGCUCUGUAGGCCCGGCCGGCGCUUGCCGAUCAACCCAAAUUUUUUAUCCAGGUUGACCUCGGAUCAGGUAGGGAUACCCGCUGAACUUAAGCAUAUCAAUAAGCGGAGGA
rnacentral:misc_RNA from 1 species